rnacentral:rRNA from 1 species
AUUGAACGCUGGCGGCAUGCCUUACACAUGCAAGUCGAACGGCAGCACGGGAGCAAUCCUGGUGGCGAGUGGCGAACGGGUGAGUAAAGUAUCGGAACGUGCCCAGUCGUGGGGGAUAACGUAGCGAAAGUUACGCUAAUACCGCAUACGAUCUAUGGAUGAAAGCGGGGGAUCGCAAGACCUCGCGCGAUUGGAGCGGCCGAUAUCAGAUUAGGUAGUUGGUGGGGUAAAGGCCCACCAAGCCGACGAUCUGUAGCUGGUCUGAGAGGACGACCAGCCACACGGGGACUGAGACACGGCCCAGACUCCUACGGGAGGCAGCAGUGGGGAAUUUUGGACAAUGGGCGAAAGCCUGAUCCAGCCAUGCCGCGUGCAGGAUGAGGGCCUUCGGGUUGUAAACUGCUUUUGUACGGAACGAAAAGGACUGCCCUAAUACGGUGGUCCCAUGACGGUACCGUAAGAAUAAGCACCGGCUAACUACGUGCCAGCCGCCGCAGUAACAC